AUUGAACGCUGGCGGCAGGCCUAACACAUGCAAGUCGAGCGGAUGAAGGGAGCCUGCUCCUGGAUUCAGCGGCGGACGGGUGAGUAAUGCCUAGGAAUCUGCCUGGUAGUGGGGGAUAACGUCCGGAAACGGGCGCUAAUACCGCAUACGUCCUGAGGGAGAAAGUGGGGGAUCUUCGGACCUCACGCUAUCAGAUGAGCCAAGGUCGGAUUAGCUAGUUGGUGGGGUAAAGGCCUACCAAGGCGACGAUCCGUAACUGGUCUGAGAGGAUGAUCAGUCACACUGGAACUGAGACACGGUCCAGACUCCUACGGGAGGCAGCAGUGGGGAAUAUUGGACAAUGGGCGAAAGCCUGAUCCAGCCAUGCCGCGUGUGCGAAGAAGGUCUUCGGAUUGUAAAGCACUUUAAGUUGGGAGGAAGGGCAGUAAGUUAAUACCUUGCUGUUUUGACGUUACCAACAGAAUAAGCACCGGCUAACUUCGUG
rnacentral:rRNA from 1 species